rnacentral:lncRNA from 1 species
ACCCCGUGAGGGGGUGGUGUUGCUGGCUUCUCAGUGACUCCGCAGUGGAAAGUCCCAGCCUCACAGCGCCCUGCCCCAGGGUCGGGAGCCAGCAGCCUUGGGAGAGGCAGGUUCCGACUUUGCUCUCCUCCGGAGAUGUCCCUUUCCCUUCCCAAGGAUACUGAGAUGCUGGAGCUGAGGAACGAUGGGGGAAAGUGUCCUUGCCAAAAGAGACGUGGACUUGGGGCUUUUAUUUCUGGAGCUGGCUGUCUAGCUCUCCUAAUGAGCGAAUAUGCUCUCUUUAAGGAAACAAACAAACAAAGCAAAAACACCAAUUCAUCUGGAUUUUAUUCAUUUGUUUUAAAUGCAAACAAACAAAAGGAGAGGGAGAAGUGGUUAUUUCUGCACCAACUAUUUCAAAUGCAAGUUACUCCAUUGCUCGGGGUGUUUGGAUGUGCUUGUCGCCAUAGGACCCACAGGGCUAGUUCCAACCGUUAUUCGUGCCUCAACCUGUCAUGGUGUUUUUUAAAUUUGCUAUUGAAUGUCACGUCCGUCAGGCACAUGGAUACUCGUGGGAUGAAGAAAUGGAGAUGCAUCAAGGUCACAUAAUUGCUGACAGACACAGCUAUUUAACAGUGGAGUCAAGACCAGAGGAGAGCACAUCUGGAGGGUAAACCAAGCUGGGGAGUUGGGGAGUCCCAUACCAAUCAACUGUUUCUUCUCUCCAUCUCUCCCUUGGAUGUGCUGCUUCAGACCCGGCCCUCCUUCCCACGGCCCUCUCCCCUCACAUUUUCAUCGCCUCAGAGAGGAGAUUUCCCAUGACCACUUGUGCCUAACGGCCAGUCUCAAGCCUUCAGAUCCUCCUAGGCAACUCAUCUUGACCUCAACGAUCACUUCCUGACUUGCUGGGCUGCAUCAACCUUCUGGCCUUGCCUCCAUUUGAUCCCUUUGGCCUCUGCUGAACCUUGGGACUUAAGGCCCCCAGCUCAGGGCUCCUCUCACCACUGCCAAUGACCUGUUUGUUCCCAGCUCCCCGGGACUGGUCUGCUUAUCAUGUCUCUAAUCCCUGUGGUUGGAGCUGUGAAGAAAAAGCUUCUGGGCAAGAUGCCACUAGCAAGCCUGUCUCCCUAGGAACAGACCCCUUUUCUCUCUAGUCGUUCAGAAACCUACCCCUCCUCUCACAGCUGUGUGAAAAGAAGCCAAAUGCCCAUUCUUAAUGUGUGACGACUGAGGCUCACAUGCAGACUGCUGUUAUCUCAGCAGGAGAGCAAUUUGCAACCAUUUAAAACCCGUUCUCUCUUCCCCUCUCCUCAGUGUAUGCUUACACACACCCUAGUCCAUAUUUAUUAGUGCAGAUGGUGAGAUGCUCGUCAUUGAAAGGCCUGAGAGCACAGAGCGAAAUGGAUUUUUGGCCUCACUCUGGCCUUAUAAACAAGAAGGCUUGAAUGAUUUUAGGUUCCUGAUUCUUGCCUCAAAAGAGCACAGUUUGCUUCUCUCCAAACACAAGAGGUUGUAAAUUGGUAAUUCAUCUCAACCAAAGGCCACAUGAUGAGCAAUUGUAGAAGCAUUUUUUUCCUUGUUGUGCAAAGGAGGAACCUGACAUCUGAGUGUGGGUUCCAGCUGGUACUUGCCUUCUACCAUUCGCAGCCUGAAGGCACCGUCAUGGCCAGCCCUGGGCUCCCCGACCUCCUCCUGCCUUUCACCUGCGUCCCACCAGGGCCAUUGCCAGGGGAGAAGUCAGCUCAGCAUUUCUACGUGACUCUUUCUUUCUUUUUUUUUCAGCUAAAAAAUAAAUCAG